ACGGGUGCAGCAGCGCGAAACUUUACAAUGUGCGAAGCAUGAUAGGGACUCGAGUGCAGUAUCUAUACUGCUGUCUGUGCUAAACGCACAAGAUAGCAAGGGCCGGGUAAGACCGGUGCCAGCCGCCGCGGUAACACGGCGGCCCGAGUGGUAGCCGCUAUUAUUGGGUCUAAAGGGUCGUAGCCGGUUCGAUAAGUCCUCUGGGAAAUCUGGUUGCUUAACAAUCAGACUGCCAAGGGAUACUGUCGAACUUGAGACCGGGAGAGGUAAGAGGUACUUCAGGGGUAGGAGUGAAAUCUUGUAAUCCCUGGGGGACCAUCUGUGGCGAAGGCGUCUUACCAGAACGGGUCUGACGGUGAGGGACGAAAGCUGGGGGCGCAAACCGGAUUAGAUACCCGGGUAGUCCCAGCCGUAAACGAUGCUCGCUAUGUGUCAGGUACGGUGUGACCGUAUCUGGUGCCGUAGGGAAGCCGUGAAGCGAGCCACCUGGGAAGUACGGUCGCAAGACUGAAACUUAAAGGAAUUGGCGGGGGAGCACUACAACGGGUGGAGCCUGCGGUUUAAUUGGAUUCAACGCCGGAAAUCUUACCGGGGGAGACAGCAGCAUGAAGGUCAGGCUGAAGACCUUACCAGAUCCGCUGAGAGGAAGUGCAUGGCCGUCGUCAGUUCGUACUGUGAAGCAUCCUGUUAAGUCAGGCAACGAGCGAGACCCGUGCCCACAGUUGCCAGCAUGCCCUUCGGGGCGAUGGGUACUUUGUGGGGACCGCCGCUGCUAAAGCGGAGGAAGGAGCGGGUUACGGUAGGUCAGUAUGCUCCGAAACUCCCGGGCUACACGCGGGCUACAAUGGUUGGGACAAUGGGAAUCAACACCGAAAGGUGAAGGUAAUCUCCUAAACCCAACCGUAGUUCGGAUUGAGGGCUGUAACUCGCCCUCAUGAAGCUGGAAUCCGUAGUAAUCGCGUUUCAACACAGCGCGGUGAAUACGUCCCUGCUCCUUGCACACACCGCCCGUCAAACCAUCUGAGUGAGGUUUGGAUGAGGGUCUUCCUGAUGGAGACUCGA
rnacentral:rRNA from 1 species